rnacentral:rRNA from 1 species
GGUUAAGCGACUAAGCGUACACGGUGGAUGCCUUGGCAGUCAGAGGCGAUGAAGGACGUGCUAAUCUGCGAUAAGCGUCGGUAAGGUGAUAUGAACCGUUAUAACCGGCGAUUUCCGAAUGGGGAAACCCAGUGUGUUUCGACACACUAUCAUUAACUGAAUCCAUAGGUUAAUGAGGCGAACCGGGGGAACUGAAACAUCUAAGUACCCCGAGGAAAAGAAAUCAACCGAGAUUCCCCCAGUAGCGGCGAGCGAACGGGGAGCAGCCCAGAGCCUGAAUCAGUGUGUGUGUUAGUGGAAGCGUCUGGAAAGGCGCGCGAUACAGGGUGACAGCCCCGUACACAAAAAUGCACAUGCUGUGAGCUCGAUGAGUAGGGCGGGACACGUGGUAUCCUGUCUGAAUAUGGGGGGACCAUCCUCCAAGGCUAAAUACUCCUGACUGACCGAUAGUGAACCAGUACCGUGAGGGAAAGGCGAAAAGAACCCCGGCGAGGGGAGUGAAAAAGAACCUGAAACCGUGUACGUACAAGCAGUGGGAGCACGCUUAGGCGUGUGACUGCGUACCUUUUGUAUAAUGGGUCAGCGACUUAUAUUCUGUAGCAAGGUUAACCGAAUAGGGGAGCCGAAGGGAAACCGAGUCUUAACUGGGCGUUAAGUUGCAGGGUAUAGACCCGAAACCCGGUGAUCUAGCCAUGGGCAGGUUGAAGGUUGGGUAACACUAACUGGAGGACCGAACCGACUAAUGUUGAAAAAUUAGCGGAUGACUUGUGGCUGGGGGUGAAAGGCCAAUCAAACCGGGAGAUAGCUGGUUCUCCCCGAAAGCUAUUUAGGUAGCGCCUCGUGAAUUCAUCUCCGGGGGUAGAGCACUGUUUCGGCAAGGGGGUCAUCCCGACUUACCAACCCGAUGCAAACUGCGAAUACCGGAGAAUGUUAUCACGGGAGACACACGGCGGGUGCUAACGUCCGUCGUGAAGAGGGAAACAACCCAGACCGCCAGCUAAGGUCCCAAAGUCAUGGUUAAGUGGGAAACGAUGUGGGAAGGCCCAGACAGCCAGGAUGUUGGCUUAGAAGCAGCCAUCAUUUAAAGAAAGCGUAAUAGCUCACUGGUCGAGUCGGCCUGCGCGGAAGAUGUAACGGGGCUAAACCAUGCACCGAAGCUGCGGCAGCGACACUAUGUGUUGUUGGGUAGGGGAGCGUUCUGUAAGCCUGUGAAGGUGUACUGUGAGGUAUGCUGGAGGUAUCAGAAGUGCGAAUGCUGACAUAAGUAACGAUAAAGCGGGUGAAAAGCCCGCUCGCCGGAAGACCAAGGGUUCCUGUCCAACGUUAAUCGGGGCAGGGUGAGUCGACCCCUAAGGCGAGGCCGAAAGGCGUAGUCGAUGGGAAACAGGUUAAUAUUCCUGUACUUGGUGUUACUGCGAAGGGGGGACGGAGAAGGCUAUGUUGGCCGGGCGACGGUUGUCCCGGUUUAAGCGUGUAGGCUGGUUUUCCAGGCAAAUCCGGAAAAUCAAGGCUGAGGCGUGAUGACGAGGCACUACGGUGCUGAAGCAACAAAUGCCCUGCUUCCAGGAAAAGCCUCUAAGCAUCAGGUAACAUCAAAUCGUACCCCAAACCGACACAGGUGGUCAGGUAGAGAAUACCAAGGCGCUUGAGAGAACUCGGGUGAAGGAACUAGGCAAAAUGGUGCCGUAACUUCGGGAGAAGGCACGCUGAUAUGUAGGUGAAGUCCCUCGCGGAUGGAGCUGAAAUCAGUCGAAGAUACCAGCUGGCUGC